rnacentral:rRNA from 1 species
UACGUAGGGGGCAAGCGUUGUCCGGAUUUAUUGGGCGUAAAGCGCGUGUAGGCGGCCAGGUAGGUCCGCUGUGAAAACCCGAGGCUCAACCUCGGGACGUCGGCGGAAACCAUCUGGCUAGAGUCCGGAAGAGGAGAGUGGAAUUCCCGGUGUAGCGGUGAAAUGCGCAGAUAUCGGGAAGAACACCCGUGGCGAAGGCGGCGUUCUGGACUGCAACUGACACUGAGGAACGAAAGCCAGGGGAGCAAACGGG